ensembl:lncRNA
AAAAGUUACAGUAAGCUAAGGUUAAUUUAUUAUUAAAGAAAGAAAAAUAUUUUUUAAUGAAUUUUAGUGUAGCCUAAGCAUACAGUGUUUAUCAAGUCUAAAGUCGUGUCCCAUAAUGUCCCAGGCCUCACGUCCACCCACCACUCACUCACUGACUCACCCAGAGCAACUUCCAGUCCUGCAAGCUCCUUUCAUGAUAAGAGAGACUUGAAAAUGUGUAAAUAAAGAUUGGAGGGAUCCAGUUGAGAGCUAACGUUUAAAUAUGAAUCCAGAAGAGAAAAUGAAUCCAGAAAAGAAAAUGAAUCAUUGAUAGUGUAAGAUUCGUAUGAAGGAGAGGAGGAGAUAAGGAUUGGUUUGGAUAGGAGAGACACCAACCACUCCUAUGGCAACAGGAAGAAGAUUGGUUCAGACGCAGGAAGAAGAAAGAGAAAGAGAACGAAGAGAAGGAGAGGAUGAAAAAAGAGAAGGAGGAGGAGAAAGAGACAGAGACGGACAGACAGAGAAAGGAAGGGAAAAAAAAGAGUGGAUCGUGAGAAAGCAAACCAUGAAAAAGGAACUCACAGAAUCCAAGAAACAGGAGAUCCAGCCCAGGAAAGAGGCAGAAGGAGGUGCCAGUGCUCCAGCUGCCCAGCAGGUCUGGAGAGGAAUCCAUCUCAAUCAGAGCAGGAGAGCAGAGAACGAGGGAAUGUCUCCAAGAAGAAAAAGAAAAAGAAAUUUAUAGGUUGCCUGAUGUGUCUGAAUUUAUUGAGAGGAGAUUUCUAUUUCUGCUCGAGAUUUUGUGGAUCCACUGGUGAUAAAUACAUAGAAAACUGAGUGUAGCCAAUUUGUUGAACAGAUGGGACCUAUGGGGUGUAGGCAGAAAACAAGCUUAUUCUUGGAUGUGAAGUUCCUUCUUUUCCUGUUCAAAUUGUCUCUGCGAAACCAGUGCUUCCCUGGCACCCUUGAAGGAAGUAUAGGGCAAAUCUCAUGGCUUUUUUAGUCAGGUAAUAAAAUUCUCUCAGUCACUUAAAACCCCCAAACAGUCUCAGUUCCGUAGUUAAAAAAAUCCACUCUCGU